UAUAUCGGAACGUACCCAGAAGUGGGGGAUAACGUAGCGAAAGUUACGCUAAUACCGCAUACGAUCUACGGAUGAAAGUGGGGGACCUUCGGGCCUCAUGCUUUUGGAGCGGCCGAUAUCUGAUUAGCUAGUUGGUAGGGUAAAGGCCUACCAAGGCGACGAUCAGUAGCUGGUCUGAGAGGACGACCAGCCACACUGGAACUGAGACACGGUCCAGACUCCUACGGGAGGCAGCAGUGGGGAAUUUUGGACAAUGGGCGCAAGCCUGAUCCAGCAAUGCCGCGUGAGUGAAGAAGGCCU
rnacentral:rRNA from 1 species